CCUACGGGUGGCAGCAGUGAGGAAUAUUGGUCAAUGGGCGCGAGCCUGAACCAGCCAAGUAGCGUGAAGGAUGACUGCCCUACGGGUUGUAAACUUCUUUUAUAAAGGAAUAAAGUGAGGCACGUGUGCCCUUUUGUAUGGACUUUAUGAAUAAGGAUCGGCUAACUCCGUGCCAGCAGCCGCGGUAAUACGGAGGAUCCGAGCGUUAUCCGGAUUUAUUGGGGUUAAAGGGAGCGUAGAUGGGUUGUUAAGUCAGUUGUGACAGUUUGCGGCUCAACCGUAAAAUUGCAAUUGAUACUUGCAGUCUUGAUUACAGUUGCGGUAGGCGGUAUUCGUGGUGUCGCGG
rnacentral:rRNA from 1 species